UGGAGGGGGAUAACUACUGGAAACGGUAGCUAAUACCGCAUAACGUCGCAAGACCAAAGAGGGGGACCUUCGGGCCUCUUGCCAUCGGAUGUGCCCAGAUGGGAUUAGCUUGUUGGUGGGGUAACGGCUCACCAAGGCGACGAUCCCUAGCUGGUCUGAGAGGAUGACCAGCCACACUGGAACUGAGACACGGUCCAGACUCCUACGGGAGGCAGCAGUGGGGAAUAUUGCACAAUGGGCGCAAGCCUGAUGCAGCCAUGCCGCGUGUAUGAAGAAGGCCUUCGGGUUGUAAAGUACUUUCAGCGGGGAGGAAGGGAGUAAAGUUAAUACCUUUGCUCAUUGACGUUACCCGCAGAAGAAGCACCGGCUAACUCCGUGCCAGCAGCCGCGGUAAUACGGAGGGUGCAAGGGUUAAUCGGAAUUACUGGGCGUAAAGCGCACGCAGGCGGUUUGUUAAGUCAGAUGUGAAAUCCCCGGGCUCAACCUGGGAACUGCAUCUGAUACUGGCAAGCUUGAGUCUCGUAGAGGGGGGUAGAAUUCCAGGUGUAGCGGUGAAAUGCGUAGAGAUCUGGAGGAAUACCGGUGGCGAAGGCGGCCCCCUGGACGAAGACUGACGCUCAGGUGCGAAAGCGUGGGGAGCAGACAGGAUUAGAUACCCUGGUAGUCCACGCCGUAAACGAUGUCGACUUGGAGGUUGUGCCCUUGAGGCGUGGCUUCCGGAGC
rnacentral:rRNA from 1 species